GUUUAAAGCUACUGUUUAAAAACAUUAAUAAAAAAUAUUCUUUACUUACUUCAAUAGGUACAAUUGAAAUGUGACUGUUAAGCAAUAAAGAGGAAAAAUCUUACACAUCAUUUGAGGAAAAAUUAAGACGAGUGUGUGGAAGAUGACGUAGAAGAUGAUGAUGACGAAGAUGUUGUUGAUGUUGCAGAAGAUGAUGAUGACGACCUUGAUGAUGAUGAUUAGUGAGAACCUGAUUUGUUUGUGGAAACAUAAGGUAUCAAAUUCGAUCUAUUUCAGGUUUGCCAAAGACUAAAUCAAUUGGAAGUCGAAUUUCAGAGCCAAACAUCAUGGUUGUUGGUGUGACACCAGUUGACUCGUGCACAGACGAACGAUAUGCCAUUAAACAAAAAGAAAGAAAUAUCAACACUGUCACUGAUCCGGUCAACAUAAAGAAAUACACUGCUGUUUAUUGUACAGUUCAAUCAAUAAAUUAACUGA